UACGUAGGGCGCAAGCGUUGUCCGGAAUUAUUGGGCGUAAAGAGCUCGUAGGCGGUCUGUUACGUCCGCUGUGAAAACCCAGGGCUUAACCCUGGGCUUGCAGUGGAUACGGGCAGACUAGAGGCAGGUAGGGGAGAAUGGAAUUCCCCGUGUAGCGGUGAAAUGCGCAGAUAUCGGGAGGAACACCGGUGGCGAAGGCGGUUCUCUGGGCCUGACCUGACGCUGAGGAGCGAAAGCGUGGGGAGCGAACAGGG
rnacentral:rRNA from 1 species